rnacentral:rRNA from 1 species
UCUUCCGCGAAUCUGCUCCAGGAUGGGACUGCGUCCGAUCAGGCUGUUGGCGGGGUAAUGGCCCACCAAGCCUGUAACCGGUACGGGCCUUGAGAGAGGUGGCCCGGAGAUGGACACUGAGAGAAGGGUCCAGGUCCUACGGGGCGCAGCAGGCGCGAAACCUUCGCAAUGCGCGAAAGCGUGACGAGGUUAAUCCGAGUGACUUCCGCUGAGGAGGUCUUUUGUCAGCUGUAAAUAGGCAGGCGAAUAAGGGGAGGGCAAGCCUGGUGUCAGCCGCCGCGGUAAUACCAGCUCCUCGAGUGGUCGGGGCGAUUAUUGGGCCUAAAGCAUCCGUAGCCGGUUCCGUAGGUCCUCUGUUAAAUCCAACCGCUUAACGGUUGACCUGCAGAGGAUACCGCGGGACUAGGAGGCGGGAGAGGCGGACGGUACUCCGCGUGUAGGGGUAAAAUCCUUUGAUCCGCGGAAGACCACCAGUGGCGAAGGCGGUCUGCCAGAACGCGCUCGACGGUGAGGGGUGAAAGCUGGGGGAGCGAACCGGAUUAGAUACCCGGGUAGUCCCAGCCGUAAACGAUGCGAGCUAGAUGAUUCAUUCGCAGUUCGCGAAUGAAGUGUCGCAGGGAAGCCGUUAAGCUCGCCGCCUGGGGAGCACGGUCGCAAGGCUGAAACUUAA